UGUGCAGAAAGCCCACAGUGUCUCCACUGCUCAGCCAUGCUCCUGCUGCUCAUCUCAAUGCUUGACGUGAUUUUUGCCCCAAGAGGAACCGGAGCUCAGUCGGUGACCCAGCCCGAUGCCCAUGUCACUGUCUCUGAAGAAGCUGCUCUGGAGCUGAGGUGCAACUAUUCCUAUAGUGGAACUCCUUAUCUCUACUGGUACGUGCAGUACCCCAACCAAAGCCUCCAGCUUGUCCUCCGGUACUUUUCAGGGAACACCCUGGUUAAAGGCAUCAAAGGUUUUGAGGCUGAAUUUAGGAAGACUGAAUCCUCCUUCCACCUGAGGAAACACUCAGCGCAUGGGAGCGAUACGGCCGAGUACUUCUGUGCUGUGAGGGCAGGAGGAAGCUACAGACUUACAUUUGGAAGAGGUACCAGGCUUGUUGUUCAUCCCUAUAUCACAGACCCUGACCCCGCUGUGUACCAGCUGAGAAGCCCUAAAUCCAGUAAGAUCUCUGUCUGCCUGUUCACCGAUUUUGAUUCUGAGACCAAUGAGGAGCAAGCCCCAGAGUCCACGAUGAUCAGGCUAAACAGUACCGUGCUGGACAUGUGGUCGAUGAAUUCCAAGAGCAAUGGCGCCCUGGCCUGGAGCACCAGCACUGAUUUUAAAUGCAAUGAGACCUUCAACGAGGAAUUCUACUCCAGCUCAGACUUUUCCUGUGAUGCCACUUUGAUAGAGAAAAGCUUUGAAACAGAUAUGAGCCUAAACUUCCAAAACCUGUUCAUGAUCGGGCUGCGUGUCGUCCUCCUGAAAGUGGCUGGGUUUAACCUGUUCACGACGCUGCGGCUGUGGUCGCGCUGAGGUCACCAAGAACAUGAGAGCGCCUGGCACUCCCUCGCUCCUGGCUCCCGACCGUACCUCUUGCCCCUCUUCAAGCAGAGAGGCAGACUAUCUGCUCCCCUGAACAGAUAAGAAGGCUCCCUCUGCCUCUCUGGCCCCACUGGCAAUGGCCACCAGCUGGAUCCCACCAGAUACUCACCAUCAAGGUGCUGAAGAGCUGCCAAACCCUGCCUCUGCCCCCUUGGUUCCCUCACUGCUGCUUGUCACCACUGGACGCUCACAGCAAAGUCAGGGGGCCGCUGCGGAGAGACUCCCUGUCCCUUCUGAGACUGCCUCUUACAUCCCCUGUCCCCUAUCCUCCGGGAGAGGAACCCCCAGUAGGUCCUCUUGGCCUCUAGCUCCCGGAGAAGGUUGUGAGGAGUCCGUUUUUUUAAAUAAUUUCACAAAUAUGUAUACCCUUUUCCCCAAGAUGCGGGGGAAAUUAUUACGGAGACCCUGCUGUGCUGUGUAUCUGAGCCGCGUUGUAUAUCCUGCUACCCAUGACUUCAUUAAAGGCAAUUUGGAAGAGCCCA